rfam:Saccharothrix espanaensis DSM 44229 complete genome
GCCGGUCCUCGGUAGUGGCCCCCUGGCCCAAGACGACAACCCAGGGGACUUCGAUCGAAGACCGGC